GUACGGGAGGCAGCAGUAAGGAAUCUUCCGCAAUGGACGAAAGUCCGACGGAGCAACGCCGCGUGAGUGAAGAAGGCCUUCGGGUCGUAAAGCUCUGUUAUUCAGGAAGAACGUUCUCUAUGUAAAUAAUGUAGAGAAGUGACGGUACUGAAGGAGGAAGCCACGGCUAACUACGUGCCAGCAGCCGCGGUAAUACGUAGGUGGCGAGCGUUGUCCGGAAUUAUUGGGCGUAAAGAGCGCGUAGGCGGGAAGAGAAGUCUAUCUUAAAAGUGCGGGGCUCACCCCCGUGAUGGGGUAGAAACUCUCUUUCUUGAGUGCCGGAGAGGAAAGCGGGAUUCCCAGUGUAGCGGUGAAAUGCGUAGAUAUUGGGAGGAACACCAGUGGCGAAGGCGGCUUUCUGGACGGUGUCUGACGCUGAGGCGCGAAAGCCAGGGGAGCGAACGGGAUUAGAUACCCCAGUAGUCCC
rnacentral:rRNA from 1 species